GACGAACGCUGGCGGCGUGCUUAACACAUGCAAGUCGAACGGAAAGGCCCUGCUUUUGUGGGGUGCUCGAGUGGCGAACGGGUGAGUAACACGUGAGUAACCUGCCCUUGACUUUGGGAUAACUUCAGGAAACUGGGGCUAAUACCGGAUAGGAGCUCCUGCUGCAUGGUGGGGGUUGGAAAGUUUCGGCGGUUGGGGAUGGACUCGCGGCUUAUCAGCUUGUUGGUGGGGUAGUGGCUUACCAAGGCUUUGACGGGUAGCCGGCCUGAGAGGGUGACCGGGCACAUUGGGACAGGGAGGCGGCACAGACGCCUACGGGAGGCAGCAGUGGGGAAUAUGGAACAACGGGCGGAAGCCUGAUGCAGCAACGCCGCGUGCGGGAGGACGGCGUGCGGGUUGGAAACCGCUUGCGCCUGGGACGAAGCGGGAGUGAAGGUAAUGGGUAAAGAAGCACCGGCUAACUACGUG
rnacentral:rRNA from 1 species